rnacentral:rRNA from 1 species
UCACGAAAGUGGGCUGUACUAGAAGAUGCUGAGCCAACCCGCAAGGGAGCAAGCGUCCACGGUAUGGUUCAUGAUUGGGGUG